rnacentral:rRNA from 1 species
AUUGAACGCUGGCGGCAUGCUUUACACAUGCAAGUCGAACGGCAGCACGGACUUCGGUCUGGUGGCGAGUGGCGAACGGGUGAGUAAUACAUCGGAACGUGCCCAGUUGUGGGGGAUAACUACUCGAAAGAGUAGCUAAUACCGCAUGAGAACUGAGGUUGAAAGCAGGGGAUCGUAAGACCUUGCGCAACUGGAGCGGCCGAUGGCAGAUUAGGUAGUGGGUGGGAUAAAGGCUUACCAAGCCGACGAUCUGUAGCUGGUCUGAGAGGACGACCAGCCCAAGUGGGACUGGGACACGGCGCAGACUCCUACGGGAGGCAGCAGUGGGGAAUUUUGGACAAUGGGCGAAAGCCUGAACCAGCAAUGCCGCGUGCAGGAUGAAGGCCUUCGGGUUGUAAACUGCUUUUGUACGGAACGAAAAGCUUCGGGCUAAUACCCUGGAGUCAUGACGGUACCGUAAGAAUAAGCACCGGCUAACUACGUGCCAGCCGCCGCAGUAACAC